rnacentral:lncRNA from 1 species
UCCAUCCUGAGCUGCUCUUCCCUUGGGCCUCCAGAAAGGAGGCUGACUGAGGUGAUGCAAGUUUCUCUGAGGACAGCCACCUUGCACCUUAUAUGAACACAGACUCAGCCUACUCACCAGCUUUCUGAGACCACAAACAACAAAAGCUGGCUGCAUAGGAGGGAGAGAGGCCCCAAGGAGGGGCUCUGUCGUGCGACCCUGCUGGACUUCUCCAUCCCAGUUUCCUUGCUGGAGUCAACUUGCCUGUGCACAAAGAUUGCAUCUGGCUUACAUGCCAUCAGUAGGAAUCCAUUCAGGAGAAAGAGAGAUCAGAAGAGAAGCCCGAGUGGAAAUGAGAACAAGCUGCGAAGGGGCCUGGCAUUCCAGUCACUCUAGUGAGCCGCCUCCUCUAG